rnacentral:rRNA from 1 species
GACGAACGCUGGCGGCGUGCUUAACACAUGCAAGUCGAACGGAAAGGCCUGCUUUCCCUUGUGGAUUGCGGGUACUCGAGUGGCGAACGGGUGAGUAACACGUGAGUGAUCUGCCCCCAACUUGGGUAUAAGCCUGGGAAACUGGGUCUAAUUCCCGAUAGGACUGCAGGGUGGUGCCUGUGGUGGAAAACGAUUUUCUAGUGGUUGGGGAUGAGCUCGCGGCCUAUCAGCUUGUUGGUGGGGUAAUGGCCUACCAAGGCGGCGACGGGUAGCCGGCCUGGGAGGGUGGACGGGCACAUUGGGACUGAGAUACGGCCCAGACGACUACGGGAGGCAGCAGUGGGGAAGAUUGCACAAUGGGCGGAAGCCUGAUGCAGCGACGCCGAGUGGGGGAUGACGGCCUUCGGGUUGUAAACUCCUUUCGGCCGCGAGGAAGCCACCUGGUUGGAAGGGUGGUGACGGUAGUGGUAGAAGAAGCACCGGCUAACUACGUG